CAUCUAGGCGGUCAAUCAAGUCGAAGGUGAAAACUUGUGGCUCAACCAUAAGCUUGCCUACGAAACUGAUUAACUAGAGUACUGGAGAGGUGGACGGAACUACACGAGUAGAGGUGAAAUUCGUAGAUAUGUGUAGGAAUACCGAUGGCGAAGGCAGCCCCCUGGGAUAACACUGACGUUCAUGCUCGAAAGCGUGGGUAGCAAACA
rnacentral:rRNA from 1 species